GCUGCAAAGCCCACGCUUGCAUCCAGCUUUUACCCCAGCGGCCUCUCUUCUGGUAUCCUUCUUAACUUACUCUACAUGGCUGUGGGUUCCCUUUAUUUUUUUCUGGAAUCCUAGAGGAUGCACGGAUACAAUUCACGCAGUGUGCCCAUCUUUCCUCUCCUGAGUGUCAGUCUAUAGGUUUCUGACCUCGAGAGGGUAAGCAACUUGCCCAAGAUCCCCCAGCUGGUCUGAGCAGCAAAGCCUUUGAACGCAGUUUUGACUCUGGAGCUGCAUUCUUCAUUCUUAUCCUACACUUGCUUGUGGAUUCUUUUUCGUCCUUCCAGAACCCCUGAAGCUCUGCAGCUAUACUUUACCGGUUACGUCUAGACUAUAGGGACCACAGUGUUCCACCUCGGGCAGGUUCAGCGACCUGCACGUAGUGACACAGCUGGGAAAGUUACAGAGCCUGCGGGACGCUCCGGCUGCAACUUCAGUUCCGACCAGAGGUUCUGCGAACCUCCAGGAUUUAGCAGGUUUCCAGGACAGCUGGGUGAAUCUACCCGGGGAAAUUUUGGUGGAUAAGAGCUGCUCGCCAGCUGUCGGAGUGGGAGAGGCUAGCGUGCUGGCUCCAUUCACUUCACCUAACACCUCUGAAGUGUCUGCCCUGCAGUGUGGCAAGCCCGGUGCUGAGCGCUUCUAAAUCCGUCGCUUUAAAGAUCAUUAGUACAAUGUUGUGAGAGGGUUAGCUCCAUUUGAAAAUUAUUUUCCCGCGAUUACAAAAGAAGCGAUGCUGACUGCAGAAGUUAGAACUGGGAGAAGACUCGAUCACUCCCAUGAUCAUGUCAACAACUGCCCUCCUUCAGUUUUGACUUUGUGUGUACACUUUGUCAUUUUCCGUGUCAUUUCCUGAGUCUCCAACUCUGGCUGGAAGAAGGAAAAAAAGACGACAAAAACCAAACUUGCCCUGUAGGGUCCUGUAGAUGAGUGUUUCUCACAUUUUAAUGUGGUUGCGGUUCUGAUACAGGGGGUCUGGGGCGGGGUCUGAGAAUCUCCACACUGAAAGCACUUCCAAGUGAUGCCAAUACUGCUAGUCCCUGCUGGUCCUUGGAUUCCCACUUGAUUGGAAAACCCUGGCGAUCCAUAGAUCUGGACGUUUAUUCCCUGCUUUGGUGUAGCUUUUCAAGCAGUACAGCAAACCUUGCUGGGUAGCAUUCAGCAACACUCCUGAGCAUUGGAGGAAUAUUUUUGGAAUUCCAAAUGGGUGGAAAGUUCAUAGCAUCAUCCAUGGAUUUUAUUUUUUUACCUCUCAAGGCUAUAGACAUUCCUAAGAAACACGCAGUCAGCAUUGGUGAGAGUGGAAUCAAGCUAUGGAAUUCUCAUUUGGAAUCUGCUGCCAGUUUCUGAACAGUGAAGCGGGAGAGUUCUGAACAGUGAAGCGGGAGCUCUGUAUUCAGCAAGACUCUGGGGCCUGGAAAGUGGGAUUACAACAUCCAUUUUGUCUAAUUGCUUUCCUUCUUUCUUUUAUGUGGCUGCUAAAGCCCCAUGACCUUCACUAUUUAACUGCUUCAUCAGAGUGAAAGAAUUGCCUUGAUGUUCAUAAGGAUUACUUGUUUCGAACUGACCUUUAAAAAGUUGUCACUCACUAGAUUUUUCAAUGCAUGGUUGAGGUCACUGGACAGUAUUCUUUAAUCAGUGUUGGUGGCAUUUGUUGCCUAUUUGUGGUGGAGACUUUUAAUUGCUUUAAUCAAUUAAUGCAUUGCUUUGAUAGGAUUCUGCAUGGGGUGGAAUAUUAUUGGCCUUUGUUCAGAUAAGCUUGUGCCAGGGAAUCCUCCAUCAGUAUAUUCAUUAAGCUACUCAUGGGCUCUCAGAUAAUGGGUAGGAAACAAAUUCUUUCACCAAAGGUGUGUGGGCUUGUCAGUUUCACAGGAUGAGCUAGUGUCAACAGGGUGAUAAUCUUCAAACCAAACUGGUUUUGAGAAACAGGGAAGUUCUGUCCUACACCAUAAAUGUAAAUUAGUGCUUACUUGGGGUGUACACUUCUUUUUGGAGAUGUUCUACCACCCCUCAGGUGGUCUCCCAGAUGGCAGAUUGAGAGGUUGUUGCUGAAAUGCUACAGCUGAGGCUGCGGAGAAGCCAUAGCCUACUGUGGAUUGGCCUCUUUAGGCAAAAGGAAAGUCUGUGCCACUCCUCAUUGGUUAAUUUUAGUAUCAAAAUUCUUGGAGGUUAGAAAAAAAAAAUUCUACAGUGUCAGAUCUGGCAAGACCAUGCAUAUGAUUUCAGUCACCGAACUUCACAGGAGAAAUGAGAGCCAAAACUAUUAGGAAAAAGGAAUUCAGGGCAGAGUUUCUAAACCUUGGUACUACCGACAUUUUCAUUCAAAUAAUUAUUUGUUGUGGUGAGGGGUUGGGGGGGAGGUUAUCGUCUGCAUUGCAGGAUAUUUAGGAGCAUCUCUGGCCACUAUCCACUAGACAUAGUAACAACCCCUUGUUGUGACAACCAGACAUGGCCAGUGCCAGAUUGAGAACCACAGUUUUAAGAAAGCUUUAUGCUCAUUACUGAAGUCAGGCAAUGCUGUCAGCCCACAUUUUCUGCUGGCUGUGGAACCACCUGGUGAAUGCAGCACAGUGAGAAAGGGAUGUUAUUAUAAAUUGGAAACUCAAGGCACCAUACCAAUAAACAUGAGUGAAAACUGUAGGAAGAUGAAUGUUCGGCGUGGCAGACCUCCUGAGAAAAGUAGCUGAUUUUUCUGACAUGGAUUAGAUACUUACUCAACCGUCCCAGAAGCAUCUGAGUGUUUACAUACGGAUGAAUUCCUUGUGGACAGCUGGAUUGGUCACUUUGCAAAUGAUUUUUGGGGCUUCCACUACUUUUUGCUCUUACCCCUUCCUUUUAUCAUCUGAUUCUGCACUUAGUAACCAAAAUGUGGCCCCAAGCCUAAUAAAAAUACUAUUUCUAUAUUCACCA